rnacentral:miRNA from 1 species
UGGUUGAUGAGGUAUAACAAACUCAUUUACCUGAAGGAACCCCUUCCAGUUGAUGAGGUAUUACAACCUCAUUGACUGGAGGGGAAUACUUCUGGUCAGUGAGGUCAUUAUACCUCAUCAACCAGAAGGAACCCCUUCUGGUUGAUGAGUUCCUUGUACCCUGUUGACCA